rnacentral:ncRNA from 1 species
GCGGAGGGCCCGCCGGAACCGCUAUACAGGUGGAGGUUCCAAACCACCCUAAGGUGCUGUAGUCAAAAGCUAUGGUAUUGAGCGUUAGGGAAAAGGCAGAUAUAACUGUCAGG